rnacentral:rRNA from 2 species
AACGGCCAUACCAUGUUGAAUAUACCGGUUCUCGUUAGAUCACCGAAGUCAAGCAUCAUUGGGCGCGGUCAGUACUUGGGUGGGUGACCACCUGGGAACACCGCGUGCCGUU